GUACCUCACUGUCGAUCCUCCUCCCUUACCGCCGCUGCUGCCUCCCCCUCUCUCUCUCUCACAAACGACGUUGACGGUUGCUCGCCCCUCACCGCCACUCCUCCCUCACCGGCGAUCUUCCCUCACCGCCGAUUUCAAAGGAUCUGCCUAGUACUGCUACUCAUACCAGCCUCUCUGCUGACUUGUGUUUUUAUGUUCUUUAAAUUUCAGUUACUUUCUUUCCUUUUUUUUGUGUUUAAUGUUUGUUAUCAUUGCAUAGCUAAUCUAGUAGUUUAAUCACUGCUAGUUGAUAUUAUUGUUAACAAAUUUUCCUAAUAGAAAAGUCCAUGAAAUCAAGAACUUCACAAACCUUCAGUAAUUUUUUUAGCGUUAGAGUAGUUAGGAAAGACUGUAAAAUUGGCUUAGUUGAGGCCCAAAAUUCAAAUUUGAGAGUUUGCUUUCAAAGAACAUUUGAAGAGGAAUAGUUUAUAUGUUUUCUGCUGUAAAUUUAGCAUUUUACAAAUUAAUUCAAAUUAAUUCAGGUGUUUCAACUUCAUC